GUUUCACCAUGUUUCCCAGGCUGGUCUCAAACUCCUGAGCUCAAAGCGAUCACCCGCCUUGGCCUCCGAAAGUGCUGUGAUUACAGGUGUGAGCCACUGUGCCCAUUUUAGUUUAAACUUCUGAGUGGUUUAUAUCUCCUGAUUGGACUCCUAGAAAUACAGAAUUGAUGCUAGGAAGGGUACCAGGAGAUGGACCCACACAGAUGGGAUUUGGGCGUAGGUUUGGUUAUCCAAGGAGCAGAGCUGAGCUAUUUGCCAAUGGGACAUGGGAUGCUGGUGAUUUCUAGGAAGUGACCUCACAAUGACUGAAGCUACCACUUACUGUUGAUUGUGAUGAAAUGCCAGCCGAGGCAUAUGCCAUUCAAGCUAAGGGGUGCUACACUUGACCACUGCGGCAGUAUAGAUGAGUCUGAAGAAUGGUAUGGGAUGGAUACUUUCGAAUGCACUCGAGCAGGGGUCUCCAUCCACAGGGCCACAGAGCUGGAGAAUAUCUUUGUCACUUCCAGCUGGAUCUUCCAUGAAAGACUUCAGAGUCCAGGAAGAGAGACUGAUUGGGUAACAUGUUAUUCAGUUACAAAAAGACUUGGACUAUGACUCAAAAAUGAUCAAAUAAUAGUGCAUGCAUCAAAUGCAAUAAGAAGCAUUUCUGGAGGGUAGGUGCCACAGUUAUCCCCAUUUUGUGAAUGAAGUGAUGAGGACUUAGGAAUGAUGAGUGAUUUGCCCAAGCUCACCUGGAUAUUAAGAGGUCUUGCUCUGUUGUCCAGGCUGGAGUGUGAUAGUGCUAUCACAGCUGACUGCAUCCUCGACCUCUCAGGCUCAAGCAGUCCUCCCACCUCAGCCUCUCAAGUGGCUGAGACUGUAUGUGCUUGCCACAAUGCCCAACUAAUAUUUGGACUCUUCCUGUACGUGGGUUCCAAAGGGCUGACUGCGAAACGAAGUGACCUCACAAUGACUCAAGCUACCACUUACCGUUGAUUGUGAUGAAAUGUCAGCUGUGGCACAUGCCUUGGGAGCUAAGUGGCUGCUGCACUUGACCACUAUGAAGACUGGUGUGGGAAGGGUCCUUUUGGAUGUACUUGAGCAGGGUCCCCAAUGCCGGAGCCAUGACGAUGGCCUCUCCCGGCACAGCUGUGGCCUCAUGUCAGCCUCCCCAGGCCACGUUUCCCUUUGCCUUGCGGCAGCCUUGGCAAGCCUGGCUCCUCCCUGCCAAGGGCCUCAUAAAGAGGCUCAUCUCAUGCCUCGCUGCGGCCUCCCCAGGCCACGCUCCCGCUUUUUGGCAGCCUCCGCAGGCCCAGCUCCUGCAUCCCAAUGGCCUUUUUAGGCCUGGCUUGUGCCUCGCCACGGCCUCUUGAGGCCCAGCUUUUCCCUUCUGGCGGCAUCUCCAGGCCCAGAAAUUCCUCAAGUCAGCCUCCCCUGGCUUAGUUGCUGCCUCCCGGCCUCCUCACCGGGCCCAGCUCUUUGCUGGCGGCUGCGCCUCCAGACCCACCCCUGCCUGCAAACGGCCACUUUUGACUCGGCUCAUGCCUGGCUCGCGGCGGCCUUCGUAGGCCCGAAACCACCUCCAGUCCAGCUCUCCAGGCCCACCUCUGGCCUCACAGCGGCCUUCCCAGGCCCAGCUCUUGCCUCACAGUGGCCUUCCCCGGCCGUGUUCCUGCCGGCCUCCUGGCGGCCUCAACAAGCCCAGCGCCUGCCUCACACUGGGCUCUCGAGGCGCAGCUGACGCCUCACGGUGGUCUCUGCAGGCCCAGCUCCCGCACGCCCCGACGGUGUCACCGGGCCCCAGGCUUUCUGAACUGGGACCCCCCGCCAAUGGCCUGUGCGGGCCCAAAGCAUCCUGACGUCAGCCUCGCCAGGCCCAGCUCCUGCCUGUCAUAGGCCCCUAGAGGCACGGCCUCUGCCUCCUCACAUUGGACCUCCGCCAGGCUCAGCUCUUGCCUCAGCGUGGCCGCCUCAUGCGAAACGUGUGCCCUGCCUGUUGGCAGCCUCCAUGGGCCCAGCUCUUGCCUUUCGCCGUCCUGUCCAGGCCCAGAACUGUUUCCAGCCUGCCUCUCCAGGCCCAGCUCUGCCUCCCGGCUGCACCCGCCGGCCCAGCUCCUGCCUCGCAACAGCCACAUUCGGCCCAGCUCCUGCCCAGCUCCUGGCAGCCUUUGUAGGCCGCAGGCUCCUCUAAGUCAGGCCUUCCAGGCCCCACCUUCGGCUCCCCGGCGGCUUGGAGAGUCCCAGCUCCUGCCUCACAGCGGCCUGUCCGGGCCCAGCUCUUGCCUCGUGUCAGCGUCCCCCAGCCACGUUGCUGCCUGCCUCACGGCAGCCCCGACAGGCCCGGCUCCUGCCUCCCGAUGGUCUCUUUAGGCUCAUCUCGUGCCUCACUGCGGCCUCCCCCAAGGCGGGCUCCUCCCUUUCAUCGGCCUCCGCAGGCCCGGCUCGUGCAUCCUGAUGGCCUCUUUUGGCCCAGCUCGUCCCUCGCCACGGCCUCUUUCAGAGGCCCAGCUUUUCCCUCGUGGCGGCCUCUGCAGGCCCAAGUCGGCAAGCCACCUCCACGGCCCAGUGGCUGCCUCCCAGGCUCCUCUCCAGGCCCAGAACUCUCUCGCGACUGCGCCUCCAGGCCCAGCCCCUGCCUGCAGACGGCCGCUUUUGACUCGGCUCACGCCCGGCUCGCGGCGGCCUUCGUAGGCCCGAAACCUCCUCCAGUCCAGCUCUCCAGGCCCACCUCUGGCCUCGCAGCGGCCUUCCCAUGCCCAACUCUUGCCUCACGGCCGCCUUCUCCGGCCGUGUUCCUGCUGGCCUCCCGUCGGCCUCAACAAUCCCAGCAACUGCCUCAUACUGGGCUCUCAAGGCCCAGCUGACGCCUCACGGUGGCCUCUCCAGGCCCAGCUCCCGCCCGCCCCAACGGUGUCUACCUGCACGUGGCUUUCUCAACUGGGCCCCCACCGCCGAUGGCCUGUGCGGGCCCAAAGCAUCCUGAAGUUGGCCUCGCCAGGCCCAGCUCCUGCCUGUCGUAGGCCCGUAGACGCACGGCCUCUGCCUCCUCACAGUGGACCCCCGCCAGGCCCAGCUCUUGCCUCAGAAGG